rnacentral:rRNA from 1 species
CCCUUAGAUAUUCUGGGCCGCACGCGUGCUACACUGAGUGGAUCAGCGGGUCAGGUUGCGCGAAAGCGUUUCCUAAUCUUUAAAUCCGCUCGUGAUGGGGAUUGACGGUUGCAAUUUUCUGUCAUGAACGAGGAAUACCUUGUAAGCGCGGGUCAUCAUCCCGCGCUGAAUACGUCCCUGCCCUUUGUACACACCGCCCGUCGCUCCUACCGAUUGAGUGGUCCGGUGAGGCUUUGGGAUCUGGGCGGAAAGAGCGUUUCGCUGUUUCUGCCCGGAAAACUCAGUCGAACCUUAUCAUUUAGAGGAAGGAGAAGUCGUAACA